AUUGAACGCUGGCGGCAGGCCUAACACAUGCAAGUCGAGCGAGCGGCGGACGGGUGAGUAAUGUAUGGGGACUGCCCGCUAGAGGGGGAUAACUACUGGAAACGGUGGCUCUUACCGCAUACUAUCGGAUAACCCAUAUGGGAUUAGCUAGUAGGUAAGGUAAUGGCUUACCUAGGCGACGAUCCCUAGCUGGUCUGAGAGGAUGAUCAGCCACACUGGAACUGAGACACGGCCCAGACUCCUACGGAGGCAGCAGUGGGGAAUAUUGCACAAUGGGCGAAAGCCUGAUGCAGCCAUGCCGCGUGUAUGAAGAAGGCCCUCGGGUUGUAAAGUACUUUCAGUCUGGAGGCGUUACCUACAGAAGAAGCACCGGCUAACUCCGUGCCAGCAGCCGCGGUAAUAC
rnacentral:rRNA from 1 species